rnacentral:tRNA from 1 species
AAGGGAGACCUAAUUCGGGUAGAAGACGAAAAAAUAGUAGUCGAAACCAAGAAUCAAUCCCAAAAGGUCGGAACGAGGUAUGUGGCUUUCAAACUAGGUUCUGGGUUCACAAAAGACCUGAGUCAGGAACAAGGGCUAUUAGCUCAGGUGGUUAGAGCGCACCCCUGAUAAGGGUGAGGUCCCUGGUUCGAGUCCAGGAUGGCCCACCUGCACAGGUGGCAAAAACAAGAGAAACGAGGAAUCAGCACCUUAUCUUACUUACAUAGUAAGAGAGAAUGCUGGCUCUGAGUAAAGAGUCCAGAGGAACCUUGAAAACUGCAUAGAGCUAGGUGAAAAAGCCAAAAAAGAAGACCGCAA